UCUGGCCUCUUCGGGGUCCGAGUUGUAAUUUGUAGAGGGUGUUUCGGGCGCGAUGCCGGUCUAAGUUCCUUGGAACAGGACGUCGUAGAGGGUGAGAAUCCCGUAUGCGGCCGGCGAUCAAGUCUGUGUGAAGCCCCUUSGASGAGUCGAGUUGWUUGGSAAUGCAGCUCAAAAUGGGUGGUAAAUUUCAUCUAAAGCUAAAUAUCGGCCAGAGACCGAUAGCGGACAAGUAGAGUGAUCGAAAGAUGAAAAGCACUUUGGAAAGAGAGUCAAACAGUACGUGAAAUUGUUGAAAGGGAAGCGCUUGCAAUCAGACCGGUCCGGAGGCGAUCAGCCGCUGCUCGUCAGCGGUGCACUCGCCUGCGAUCCGGCCAGCAUCGGUUCGGGCGGUGGGAUAAAAGUCCCGGGAAUGUAGCUUCUUUCGCGGAGUCUUAUAGCCCGGGUCGCAAUGCCGCCCGCCCGGACCGAGGACCGCGCU
rnacentral:rRNA from 1 species